rnacentral:miRNA from 1 species
UUGCCAUGAUAGCUUUAGACAGUU